UUAAGCGACUAAGCGUACACGGUGGAUGCCCUGGCAGUCAGAGGCGAUGAAGGACGUGCUAAUCUGCGAAAAGCGUCGGUAAGGUGAUAUGAACCGUUAUAGCCGGCGAUGUCCGAAUGGGGAAACCCAGUGCAAUUCGUUGCACUAUCGUUAACUGAAUACAUAGGUUAACGAGGCGAACCGGGGGAACUGAAACAUCUAAGUACCCCGAGGAAAAGAAAUCAACCGAGAUUCCCCCAGUAGCGGCGAGCGAACGGGGAGCAGCCCAGAGUCUGAAUCAGCUUGUGUGUUAGUGGAACGGUCUGGAAAGUCCGACGGUACAGGGUGAUAGUCCCGUACACCAAAAUGCACAGGCUGUGAACUCGAAGAGUAGGGCGGGACACGUGGUAUCCUGUCUGAAUAUGGGGGGACCAUCCUCCAAGGCUAAAUACUCCUGACUGACCGAUAGUGAACCAGUACCGUGAGGGAAAGGCGAAAAGAACCCCGGCGAGGGGAGUGAAAAAGAACCUGAAACCGUGUACGUACAAGCAGUGGGAGCCUCAUUAUGGGGUGACUGCGUACCUUUUGUAUAAUGGGUCAGCGACUUAUAUUCUGUAGCAAGGUUAACCGUAUAGGGGAGCCGCAGGGAAACCGAGUCUUAACUGGGCGUUAAGUUGCAGGGUAUAGACCCGAAACCCGGUGAUCUAGCCAUGGGCAGGUUGAAGGUUGGGUAACACUAACUGGAGGACCGAACCGACUAAUGUUGAAAAAUUAGCGGAUGACUUGUGGCUGGGGGUGAAAGGCCAAUCAAACCGGGAGAUAGCUGGUUCUCCCCGAAAGCUAUUUAGGUAGCGCCUCGUGAAUUCAUCUUCGGGGGUAGAGCACUGUUUCGGCUAGGGGGUCAUCCCGACUUACCAACCCGAUGCAAACUACGAAUACCGAAGAAUGUUAUCACGGGAGACACACGGCGGGUGCUAACGUCCGUCGUGAAGAGGGAAACAACCCAGACCGCCAGCUAAGGUCCCAAAGUCAUGGUUAAGUGGGAAACGAUGUGGGAAGGCACAGACAGCCAGGAUGUUGGCUUAGAAGCAGCCAUCAUUUAAAGAAAGCGUAAUAGCUCACUGGUCGAGUCGGCCUGCGCGGAAGAUGUAACGGGGCUAAACCAUGCACCGAAGCUGCGGCAGCGACACUAUGUGUUGUUGGGUAGGGGAGCGUUCUGUAAGCCUGCGAAGGUGGCCUGUGAGGGUUGCUGGAGGUAUCAGAAGUGCGAAUGCUGACAUAAGUAACGAUAAAGCGGGUGAAAAGCCCGCUCGCCGGAAGACCAAGGGUUCCUGUCCAACGUUAAUCGGGGCAGGGUGAGUCGACCCCUAAGGCGAGGCCGAAAGGCGUAGUCGAUGGGAAACAGGUUAAUAUUCCUGUACUUGGUGUUACUGCGAAGGGGGGACGGAGAAGGCUAUGUUAGCCGGGCGACGGUUGUCCCGGUUUAAGCAUGUAGGCGGAGGUUCCAGGUAAAUCCGGUACCUUUUAACGCUGAGGUGUGAUGACGAGGCACUACGGUGCUGAAGUAACAAAUGCCCUGCUUCCAGGAAAAGCCUCUAAGCAUCAGGUAACAUUAAAUCGUACCCCAAACCGACACAGGUGGUCAGGUAGAGAAUACCAAGGCGCUUGAGAGAACUCGGGUGAAGGAACUAGGCAAAAUGGUGCCGUAACUUCGGGAGAAGGCACGCUGAUAUGUAGGUGAAGUCCCUGCGGAUGGAGCUGAAAUCAGUCGAAGAUACCAGCUGGCUGCAACUGUUUAUUAAAAACACAGCACUGUGCAAACACGAAAGUGGACGUAUACGGUGUGACGCCUGCCCGGUGCCGGAAGGUUAAUUGAUGGGGUUAUCCGUAAGGAGAAGCUCUUGAUCGAAGCCCCGGUAAACGGCGGCCGUAACUAUAACGGUCCUAAGGUAGCGAAAUUCCUUGUCGGGUAAGUUCCGACCUGCACGAAUGGCGUAAUGAUGGCCAGGCUGUCUCCACCCGAGACUCAGUGAAAUUGAACUCGCUGUGAAGAUGCAGUGUACCCGCGGCAAGACGGAAAGACCCCGUGAACCUUUACUAUAGCUUGACACUGAACAUUGAGCCUUGAUGUGUAGGAUAGGUGGGAGGCUUUGAAGCGUGGACGCCAGUCUGCGUGGAGCCAACCUUGAAAUACCACCCUUUAAUGUUUGAUGUUCUAACGUAGACCCGUAAUCCGGGUUGCGGACAGUGUCUGGUGGGUAGUUUGACUGGGGCGGUCUCCUCCCAAAGAGUAACGGAGGAGCACGAAGGUUAGCUAAUCCUGGUCGGACAUCAGGAGGUUAGUGCAAUGGCAUAAGCUAGCUUGACUGCGAGCGUGACGGCGCGAGCAGGUGCGAAAGCAGGUCAUAGUGAUCCGGUGGUUCUGAAUGGAAGGGCCAUCGCUCAACGGAUAAAAGGUACUCCGGGGAUAACAGGCUGAUACCGCCCAAGAGUUCAUAUCGACGGCGGUGUUUGGCACCUCGAUGUCGGCUCAUCACAUCCUGGGGCUGAAGUAGGUCCCAAGGGUAUGGCUGUUCGCCAUUUAAAGUGGUACGCGAGCUGGGUUUAGAACGUCGUGAGACAGUUCGGUCCCUAUCUGCCGUGGGCGCUGGAGAAUUGAGGGGGGCUGCUCCUAGUACGAGAGGACCGGAGUGGACGCAUCACUGGUGUUCGGGUUGUCAUGCCAAUGGCAUUGCCCGGUAGCUAAAUGCGGAAGAGAUAAGUGCUGAAAGCAUCUAAGCACGAAACUUGCCCCGAGAUGAGUUCUCCCUGAGACUAUAAGUCUCCUGAAGGAACGUUGAAGACGACGACGUUGAUAGGCCGGGUGUGUAAGCGCAGCGAUGCGUUGAGCUAACCGGUACUAAUGAACCGUGAGGCUUAACCU
rnacentral:rRNA from 1 species